UAGGGUCCAGGAGGCAUCCAGAGCCCUGUCAUACAGCUGGUGCGGCCACACCCCAGGGCACUCCCAACCCCAGGAGCCAGGAGAAACUGGGCGGGCCCUUGGGGUGAAGAAUUGUCACCAAGGCUGCUGGGUCCCUCACUCUGUGCAAUCAGACUGAAGAGCGAGGGCGUCCUGGAAGGUGGAGCAGGUGGAGCAGUGUGCAGAACCCGUGUCCCUGUGGGCCACAGGUAUGGGCAGACGUCCUGGUCUCUGGGCUGCAGCCACAGUGGUUUCUGCCUCCUUCCCUGCACCGACAGCCUCAGCCUCAGCCUCAGAAGGUCCAGGGGACCUUCCUUCCACCCCUCCUCCACCCCACAGGUCCCCAGCAGCAGCACCUUUCUGUGUGUGGGAGUGACUGACUCGUUCAUGUUGAUUCUUCCCCGAAUGGAAGCUUCUGGAUAGCCGAGGUACACUUGGAGCCCUGAGGACCUCUGAGGCCGUCACCACCCUCAUCCGUUCUGACUGCUUCCUAUUACUGGACUUGUAAUUAUUGUAUUGCUGUGGUAAAGUGUACAUAAUACACAUUUACCUGUUUUUUUGUUUUUAUUACUUAUUUAUUUAUUUUUGAGACAGGGUUCCAGCUCAGGCUGGAGUGCAAUGGCACAAUUUCGGCUCACUGCAGCCUGGGACACCUGGGUUCAAGUGAUCCUCCCACCUCAGCCUCCCAAGAGGCUG
rnacentral:lncRNA from 13 species